UACAGAGGGGGCAAGCGUUAUUCGGAAUUACUGGGCGUAAAGCGUGCGUAGACGGUUAUGUAAGUCAGGUGUGAAAGCCCCGGGCUCAACCUGGGAAUGGCAUUUGAGACUGCAUAGCUAGGGUGCGGAAGAGGGAAGCGGAAUUUCCGGUGUAGCGGUGAAAUGCGUAGAUAUCGGAAGGAACAUCAGUGGCGAAAGCGGCUUCCUGGUCCAGCACCGACGUUCAGGCACGAAAGCGUGGGGAGCAAACAGG
rnacentral:rRNA from 1 species